AUUGAACGAUGGCGGCAUGCCUUACACAUGCAAGUCGAACGGUAACGGGCCUUCGGGUGCCGACGAGUGGCGAACGGGUGAGUAAUGUAUCGGAACGUACCUUUCAGUGGGGGAUAACGUAGCGAAAGUUACGCUAAUACCGCAUAUUCUGUGAGCAGGAAAGCAGGGGAUCGCAAGACCUUGCGCUGAUUGAGCGGCCGAUAUCAGAUUAGCUAGUUGGUGAGGUAAAGGCUAACCAAGGCGACGAUCUGUAGCGGGUCUGAGAGGAUGAUCCGCGACACUGGAACAGAGCCACGGGCCAGACUCCUACGGGAGGCAGCAGAGGGGAAUUUUGGACAAUGGGGGCAACCCUGAUCCAGCCAUGCCGCGUGAGUGAGGAAGGCCUUCGGGUUGUUAAGCUCUUUCGGCCGGGAAGAAAUCAUAACAGCUAAUACCUGGUGCGGAUGACGGUACCGGCAUAAGAAGCACCGGCUAACAACGUGCCAGCCGCCGCGGUAAUAC
rnacentral:rRNA from 1 species